rnacentral:rRNA from 1 species
CUGCUCUGGUUAGUGGCGAACGGGUGAGUAACACGUGAGUAACCUGCCCUUAACUCUGGGAUAAGCCUGGGAAACUGGGUCUAAUACCGGAUAUGACUCCUCAUCGCAUGGUGGGGGGUGGAAAGCUUUUUGUGGUUUUGGAUGGACUCGCGGCCUAUCAGCUUGUUGGUGAGGUAAUGGCUUACCAAGGCGACNACGGGUAGCCGGCCUGAGAGGGUGACCGGCCACACUGGGACUGAGACACGGCCCANACUCCUACGGGAGGCAGCAGUGGGGAAUAUUGCACAAUGGGCGCAAGCCUGAUGCANCGACNCCNCGUGAGGGAUGACGGCCUUCGGGUUGUAAACCUCUUUCAGUAGGGAANAAGCNAAAGUGACGGUACCUGCAGAAGAAGCGCCGGCUAACUACNUGCCANCAGCCGCGGUAAUACNUANGGCGCAAGCGUUAUCCGGAAUUAUUGGGCGUAAAGAGCUCGUAGGCGGUUUGUCGCGUCUGCCGUGAAAGUCCGGGGCUCAACUCCGGAUCUGCGGUGGGUACGGGCAGACUAGAGUGAUGUAGGGGAGACUGGAAUUCCUGGUGUAGCGGUGAAAUGCGCAGAUAUCAGGAGGAACACCGAUGGCGAAGGCAGGUCUCUGGGCAUUAACUGACGCUGAGGAGCGAAAGCAUGGGGAGCGAACAGGAUUAGAUACCCUGGUAGUCCAUGCCGUAAACGUUGGGCACUAGGUGUGGGGGACAUUCCACGUUUUCCGCGCCGU